AAAAACCUUCAGAUUAUCCAUCCACUCGUCUGAUCAUGGGACUGAAAACUCUUUUCAAUCAUUUGCAAUACGGUAGUGUCUUGAAUAUUUCUUCUGGUGCUCUUGCUUAACAACAAGGAUAUAUACUGUUCUGACUCCGAUCGAUUGAGGAAGUUUAAAGAUUUAAAGCCAAAAUGCAGGUUUUCAAGAAUUUCUUCGCUGUUGCUCUUUUACUAGUCGUUGUGAGUGUUACAAAUGCUCAUAAAGCUAAAUCUCCACCAGCACCACCAUUAGCACCAGGUCCAGCGCCCAGACUACUUGGUAAAGUUACUACAGAUUAGCUUCAAAAGUUAUUUUUUGGAAUGUUGUGUUCCUAUUUGUAGAUGUCUACUCGCUGCAAUCCCCAGACUUCGUAACAGGCUCACUGGUUGACGUUCAAGCAUAUAGAAGUCCUUCAUCGGUCUAGAACUAAAAUUCCAAAAGAGUAAUUGGUAUAGCUUGUUUUCUGAAAUGAUAAAUAGCUCAGAAGUUGAAAUUAUGUUCUUUGCCCAUGCAAGUGGAGUUAAAUCCAUUUCGAGUGUUACUUAAGUUUUUUAAAAUCUUCAAAUCAUAAUAUAUUGGUGUGGUGAAACUUCUCAGAGUGCUUAUGUGUUUGUUACACUGAGAGAUGUGAUAUCUAUGGAAACAAGGUUAAAUUUUGUUUGACCCUUAGGUGCAGCUGCAUAUCAGCAUCAGAUUGGGUUAUGUUGCUGAAAAGUAAUAAAGAAAGGUGUUGAUCGUCCCGUUUAAGAAGCAUGCCAAACAUCUCCUUGGCUUGAUACCAUCCAGGUGUGCCAUGGGUAUUUGUUCGUGGGAUUUUUUUGCUCUCGAAAUACUUUGCAGUUGGAUCAUUUGACUUAGCAACAACGCUACCAGAAUCAUCCGUAGGAGGUCUUCUGUUUUGCUUGAUGUGCGCCCCAUUGAUCUUUAGAUUCCGUCUAUCUGCAAUCCUGUCAUGAUUGAAUCUAGUAGACUACACUAUGCUCUGGUAUGGAACUCAAAGUCGGCCGAAACUUGUGUUUUCUAUACCGAUGAUGCUUCCUCCUAAUUCUCCGGCUCAGUGUUUCAUCUCCGUCCUUGGAAAUUCUUUGGCUCAGUGUUUCAUCUCUGUCCUUUGGUAUAACUGGUUCAUCCCCUGAAGUACCAGCUUUAAACCUUUGUACAACAUUUAGUUUUGUAAUCACAUCUGCUGCUGUCUUUUCUAACCUUUUGAUUUUACCACAGUUACUAAUGGCAACUGCAAGAUGAAACUUAGCUUAUAUAAAGACA